AACGCACAUUGCGCCCGCCAGUAUUCUGGCGGGCAUGCCUGUUCGAGCGUCAUUUCAACCCUCAAGCCUGGCUUGGUGUUGGGGCCUUGCGGCUACCGCAAGCCCUGAAAAGCAGUGGCGGGCUCGCUAUAACUCCGAGCGUAGUAACAUAUCUCGUUCUGGAAGGAUGGCGGGUGCCGGCCGUUAAAACCCCUACUUUUUUAAGGUUGACCUCGGAUCAGGUAGGAAUACCCGCUGAACUUAA
rnacentral:misc_RNA from 1 species